GACGAACGCUGGCGGCGUGCUUAACACAUGCAAGUCGAACGGAAAGGCCCUGCUUUUGUGGGGUGCUCGAGUGGCGAACGGGUGAGUAACACGUGAGUAACCUGCCCUUGACUUUGGGAUAACUUCAGGAAACUGGGGCUAAUACCGGAUAGGAGCUCCUGCUGCAUGGUGGGGGUUGGAAAGUUUCGGCGGUUGGGGAUGGACUCGCGGCUUAUCAGCUUGUUUGUGGGGUAGUGGCUUACCAAGGCUUUGACGGGUAGCCGGCCUGAGAGGGUGACCGGGCCAAUGGGGGCUGAGAUCCGGCCCAGACUCCUACGGGAGGCAGCCGGGGGGGAUUAUGCCAAAUGGGGGGAAGCCUGAUGGCGCAACCCCGCCGGCGGGAUGGAGGCCUUCGGGUUGCAAACCCGUUUCCCCUGGGAAGAAGGGGGGGGGACGGAAAUUGAUAAAAAAGCACCGCCUACCCACGG
rnacentral:rRNA from 1 species